rnacentral:rRNA from 1 species
UACGUAGGUGGCAAGCGUUGUUCGGAAUUAUUGGGCGUAAAGGGCGCGUAGGCGGUUUGUUAAGUCGGCUGUGAAAGCCCGGGGCUCAACCCCGGAGGGUCAGCCGAUACUGGCAGGCUAGAGUACAGAAGAGGUAACUGGAAUUCCCGGUGUAGCGGUGAAAUGCGUAGAGAUGUGGAGGAACACCGAUGGCGAAGGCAGCCUCCUGGGCCAACACUGACGCUCAUGCACGAAAGCGUGGGGAGCAAACAGG